rnacentral:tRNA from 1 species
UUGAGACGUGGCUUAGUUUCGCCAAGCACAGCGCGCUGACGCCGCGCUUUUUCAUGGCCGGUUGUGCCAGCGGUCGCCGCUUUGAUUUCGGC